AUUGAACGCUGGCGGCAUGCCUUACACAUGCAAGUCGAACGGCAGCAUGGAAGAGCUUGCUCUUCUGAUGGCGAGUGGCGAACGGGUGAGUAAAGCAUCGGAACGUGCCGUGUAGUGGGGGAUAACGUAGCGAAAGUUACGCUAAUACCGCAUACGCACUGAGGUGGAAAGCAGGGGAUCGCAAGACCUUGCGCUAUACGAGCGGCCGAUGUCAGAUUAGCUAGUUGGUAGGGUAAAGGCCUACCAAGGCGACGAUCUGUAGCGGGUCUGAGAGGAUGAUCCGCCACACUGGGACUGAGACACGGCCCAGACUCCUACGGGAGGCAGCAGUGGGGAAUUUUGGACAAUGGGCGAAAGCCUGAUCCAGCCAUGCCGCGUGAGUGAAGAAGGCCUGUGU
rnacentral:rRNA from 1 species